CGAUAAUCGCGCCAAAAUUUGUUUCUUGGAUAAAGACAUAGCCAGAGCGCGGCAAAAUAAAUCGGAAAGAUAAAUUUCAGAUAUCGUGUUUGCUCUUGACAGCCAUCGAACCCCGUUGGAAACAGGCAGCAAGCGCUUGGCAAGAUAGUAUUUUUCUUAUGCGGUGCAUGAAACGCCUAUCAUCACAUAGUUUGUCAUCUUUGGGCAGUAAAUUUUGCUUUCAAUUCAGCGUGUACAGCGGCAUAUGUUACCCCUGUUGACGCAUUUACCGCGGGCGACAGGCACGAAGCAAUUUGGCGAAAAGUUACCAUUACAUGUGUGCAAGACCGCAAAAGAAAAAAAACGAUUUGCUCUUCCCAGUAUAUAAAUUCCAAAAGACAAGAAUAGGAGCAUUUUGCAAACAAAAUCGGAAAUCUGCGCAGAAAUUCGCCAUUUAUUUGACUUUUAAAUGCAGAAAAAAAAACCGUAAAUAAUUUUUUUUGCUGAAACGAAAAAUGGUGCAGCACAGCAUCCCGCAUGUGAACUUCCAAAUAAUGCGCAGUUGGCUUGUGCCACUCGUGCUUGGUAUUCACUCGUAUUCCUGGCAACAGCUCAUCAUAGCUGCAUCUCCCAUAAGCUCCUUUUCAACUCUGUCGCUCUUGCAAAUGGACAACAAGCUAAAGAUGUCGCUUGCAUUCGUCACCACGUUCCAGCAGAGCGCAUGCAGAAUACGCAUCAACUAUAGCACUGCUUUGAAUAAAGUUACCCGCAAUGCAGUUAUGAAAUUUACUUCAUACCUGCACCUCAAAUACGUGUUCCCGCAAAAACGCCUUUUACGUAGGCACUUAUGCACAUCCAAAAUUUUACCGAGCAUCGUAAUGAAGUCGCGAUCCGUGGUCCCCCAAAUGGCGGAAGAUCGCCGAACAACGAAAAAUAACUAACUCAUGUGCACUUUGUGUCGUAACGACAUUAUCUGCAAAAAAUGGCUGAACGUGUUACUGGUCUUUCCAUGGCAUCUCUCCCGCCGUGCUUCAAAAACCCACAGCUAGUGCUGUACACUGCGCUAUAGCAGCAGCAUCAUCGAAGAGCGGGCCCCUCUGGCAAUCAGCCUCCCAGAGGAGGGAGGGGGUGCUACAGAAGAGUCGAAAAUCGCAAAAUUCCAGCCUACAGUUUCAACCCACGACACUUUCCUUGACCACAUCAAACCCCGGAAGCCGCACGCAACCCCCCCCCCCCUGUUUAAAAGAAACGGUGGCAGGUGACCGGAUUCCCCAGUUUUCAUAGCUACUCCGGCGCCACGUGUCGAAGAAAACAGAGCGGCACAGAGACGUACCAGCAUUUCGUGGCACGCUUCAGGUGAUCUAGGCGGUGUCUCUGAAAACCUCACAUCGAAGCAGUUACAAUUUCGCAUCCGCGGGGACUUUGCACAGCUCUCAAAGAUUCACUGAAUUCGAUUUGCAAUACAUGUGCUCGCGCCAAAGUGCUUUUCCUUCAUGGCAGAUAUCUCAGCCAUGACGAUGAGGGACGCCCCAGUGCGUGGUGUUACGUCCCGGUAGCCCACUCUGUAUGGGAAAGCCAUACAGCCCCCUACUUGCUGACAAAUGCGGAACCACUUCUGGUGGUGGCAGGGUGGAGCGCCUACGACGGAGGGGGGGGGUCAGCGCGAUGCAUUGCCACAGAUGUCGGCGGCCAGGCCCUGGACGGCGUUGCGCCGCAGCGACCUGCAAUCGUGCACACGUUAGUGUCACCCGUAUGAUUAGGCAGAAUGCCAACGUGACUGGAACCUGCACUACUCGGGCCCCCACGCUGCCCACUGGAGUGGGGAGCCUGAGCCGCCCCGAGGGACGCACCAGGUGGGCGACUGGCAUAGUGGGGGAGCGGCUGUGAGGCGACCUGCGAAGCUGGUGUGGGCAGGGCUUAAGGCGGGGAGGCCGUGCUCUUCGACGACUGAGUCGGCGCGUUGCUGAAACGUUGGUGUCUGGCGCUGCUUCGCACGACUGGAUGGGACCGUGAGAGGCCGGGGAGGGGUCGAGCCCGACUCAUGCUGUCUUGCACAAUGAAUGGUUUGACAACAAAAAAAAAACAAUUUCAACUUCUUUGAAGCCUGCUUUGCACUGAUGUUGAGUCUCUUUACAAGAGGCACCUCAGUACCGAAUGAGGAUGCAAAAAUCCCUUCAUGAAGUCAACUGUUACUCUCGCUUUAUUUACCGCACAUUGUUUAUUGCUGCUGCAG
rnacentral:misc_RNA from 1 species